CCAGGCAUGUAUGAUGACAGAACUUUUUUCCCCAUCAGAUCGACCAUGUUGAUCACAUUCUUAUAAGCCAGUUUGCCUGACAUGCCUGU
rnacentral:snoRNA from 1 species